rnacentral:rRNA from 1 species
UACGUAGGGGGCAAGCGUUGUCCGGAUUUAUUGGGCGUAAAGAGCGUGUAGGCGGCCAUACAGGUCAGCUGUGAAAACUCGAGGCUCAACCUCGAGACGUCGGUUGAAACCGUUUGGCUAGAGUCCGGAAGAGGAGAGUGGAAUUCCCGGUGUAGCGGUGAAAUGCGUAGAUAUCAGGAGGAACACCUGCGGUGUAGACGGCUUUCUGGACCAUUGUUGACGCUGAGACACGAAAGCGUGGGUAGCAAACAGG